AGUUGGAUGCUCAAUUGGCUGAGCCACACAGGUGCCCCACAUAGCUUUCAUUUUUAAAGGUUUCUCCAAAAUGCCCCUGGCUAAAUUUGGUUCCCAAAACCCAGCACCUUGCUCUUUUCUUUAAAAAAAAAAGUCUAG